UCACAAAUACUUCCCACACCAGAUCCCACCACGAACACAAUCAACUUAAAUUACUGAGAGUUCAACCACGCAGACAGUAAAGACAAGGACUCAGAGUAAUACAGUAUCCGAUUAUAUCAAUAACGAGGGGCCAUUCAUUCGUGAAAUCACUGUGUCACUUCGGGCUAAAAUCAUGUUUGAAAUCACAAGAAAUCUCAUGAAAUCGGUGGAAGUUAAUUGCAAUCAGAGAAAUUCUGGGAUUUCAUCGAUUUCAGGUGACUGCAAAUGAAAUCACAUGAAAUCAGUGAAAUGCCAUGCAAUCAGUGAAAUCGCAUGAACAAUAACACCAAAAAAUAAAUAGAAAAUCGUCCGCAGAUGAGACAAAAAAAAUUCGAAUGUAUUAAAUAGGUGAAAUAUACACGGAAUAUUUUCGAUGAAUUCAACGUGUUUUGCAUCGAGGUGUUAACCAACUUUUGUUUUCAACUCCGGACGCUUUUUCUACGGGGAAAAAAACAAAGACACAACGCGAGAGUAUCGACUCAUGAAAUUCUUAGAGAAAAUCGAUCGACGAAUUUUCCCAGAAUCCGCGUUUGAACUGGCAAUUUCGACCACACGCGAAGUAGUACAGUUAUUAACGAAACGUCGUCAGCGGUGCGUCAUCAAUUGUAUGUAAUAAGUUGUAUCUACGUGAGCCGAAAAAUGUAUGAAACGGAUUUUUUUGAAGGCGAAAAAUUCAGGGAGGUUGUGAGGAGUGAUACAGGGAUUAAUUUGUCGAUACAUGUGAAGUUAAUUUUGAAAUUUAGUGGCUUGGAUCAUCCCGUUGCUUUCGAGGGAAUCACAGUAGAAACCAUUGAUGGGGUGGAAAUGCACGCGAGGGAUAUUUUGAAGGACAUAUUAGAUCCCAACGAGAAUUUACAGUUGGUUUAUGGUCCUUAUCAUAAAAAACCCGAGAAAUUUAAAUUCAACGCUGGGGAGCGUACUAUGAUAAUGAAACUUGUACAGUUAGUAACAGAAAAAAUCCCGGAUUUUUGGAGGCCUAAGAAAGAGAAGACUCUAGAGACUCGACCAAAGACAGCGACAAAAAUGCCAUUGACGCUGUCCGGUCAUGAGAAUAUUGAUCUUGAACGCCAGAAACUUAUUAAAAGGAUAGAAAAUGUGAUUAAUACGUUUUUUGAAAAAGAAAAUUUCAUUGAACGGGGAGUCGUGCCACGAGUCUCAGUCGACGACUUAUCUGUUAAAGUAACGGUGGUUGAGCAGUACCAAAGAGAGAAUUUACCUCAAUCAUUCUGAUAUGCGGCGAAAAUUAAGUGCAUUUUCUGUUCAGCUGUUACGGAACUAACGAAAGUUUCAGCUACCGUGAAAACUGGUAGUCGUUGGGUAGUGACAAAUUAUGAAAGACACUUGAAGAGUUGUAAUACGAAGAGGAAAAGAUCAGUUACCACAGAUACAGCCCAACCUACACUCACACAACUGAGUAAAAGAAUGAAAAAGAACGAUGAGGAAAGACACCUUUAAAAAUCUACAAUAUCCGAGACAUCAAGAUCCUUUUUGCCAGAAUCAACAAAGGUGCAUUGAGAAUUAAAAGUGGAGGAUCAGCUGGAGAAGCCUCCAAAUGCAUCAGGGACAUAGCAUGGUGUAUCACCAGAAUCGCGUGGAAGUGAAGAAAAUGAUGAGUCCCUACACACAAACUCGUUAGACUCGAUGUUGGACCAUACGACAUUGUCCAUGCCGUCUCCAAUCAGAGCUCCACUGGAGCCUCUGAUGUACUCAACGAUUCAAUCAUCUCAGGUGUCGAAUAACGAAGCAUCGAUUCAGUCCAGGGUACAAUUAUCAACCCAAAAAUCCAUCGAUCAGGAAGUACAACUCCCCACUUCGAUUUCAUCCACUCUCAGACAAUCUUUAAAUAUAAUUAAUAAUCCGGAUUCGGGCAAUAUUGAAUCAGGGCGAUUGUCGAACAAAUCUUCCUGAUCAGAUAAUUGCGAAAGUUCGAAAGCGUGACAAUUCCCGGCGGCUCGAAAUGCUAAAAAGCUGCAUUUGUCAAUUACCGGAAAUCAGUCAAUCAUCACAAGUUAUUUUCCAAUUUUUGAGAAAGUACACAGGCUCAUACUCGAGAGUAACAAAUUAAAUCAAAUUAUUACGUCUUUCCUAGAAAAUAGAAAUAAUCAGCCUGGCAAUAUACCGUCAAAAGAAGAUAAGUAUGAAUUUUUAAAGAAUCUGCAGCAGGUGGCGACUGGACAGUGUCAAGGUAGGGGUAAUCAGCGAUAUGACGAUGGCCUAAAACUUUUCUGUUCGUAUUUAAUCACAAUUGGUGAAAAAUUAAUGUAUGAAACAUUACACGCGAAUCUUCCCAUUCCUUCAACAUUUUGCAACGUUCUGAACUUCCAGAUGUCAAUAAACUCAUACAAACGAUAGAAAUUGCUACAAAAGAUGCGGUCGAUGCUGUUAAGGAGUUGGGCAUGGAGAUGGAGAUUUCGGAUUGUUUAAAAAUCUCUGCGAAAUUGAUGGAAAAUGAAGAAUUCUUUGCUAAAGAUCUGGAUGGUUUAGAUAAUGUUGAGGGUGAAAAUGAUGAAGAGGUGCGGAAUGCGGGGGAUGAGAUUGACUCAACAGGAGAGUUGGCAGAAUUGUUGAGAGCCUCAACAAAUCUUUCUGGUGUUACAGACCCUCUAGAAUUGAGAAGCGUUAAUAAGGAGAAAACUAGUCUCCCGAGAGUCCGUUUACUAUUGUGACACAUAAGUCAGGUACAACGUCUGAAAUACGUAAAUCUUCAUUGUGUUGGCUUUUUGAUAAAGGACAUUCGCAGUUGAGCACUGAUAGAUUAGGAAGAGUUAUAGUGGCUGAAUUGAUGAAAUACGACAAGACUAGAAAGAUUUCAAGCGUUGAAAACGAAGGGACUCGCAUCAUUAGACAAUGUGAUGGAAUAAGCAUAGGCGAUUGGUGCCUAUUCAAGGAAAAGAAUUAUAAAACUUGUUUAUUAGGAUUGGUGUUGAGUUUUGUUUAUUUCGAUGGGAGAACAAUAAAAUCUCGAGAGUUCUCAGGAUCAUAUGCUCGUGUACAGGGUAAUGUUAAAGAAAUAGGUGUACUUUGUACCUGGUAUAUUUUAAAGAAACAAACAAAGAUUUUUGAAAUGCAGCCAAUGACUACUGAUGGCUAUACAGGAUGUCCCAAAACUGAACGUCCAAACUUUAAAGUUAAGUUGGGGGUGAAAUUCUGGAUCGAAAAGUCCUGAGCGACUUUUUGUUCAGACGCACCCUUUUCAACUUAUUGAGGGUUGAAGUUGGACGAAUCAGGGGCGUGGGGUAACUGGUCGCACGACGGUGAGGAAAACGUGCGAGUGUGGUGGUGUCCCCACCAUGCGGUACUACUUUCCUGCGGCGGCAGAAAGAGAUGCCUGGUGGCGGCGGGUAAGAGGAAGGGGAGGGAAAUGAAAAAAUAUAUAAAGACGUUGUCAAAUAUUUUUAGUUCUACAUUGUUUGUCCUUUACUGAGACGUGAAGAUUUCAUUUCAUUUAGUUUAAUUCAGUUCAGUAUGUCAGAGAUAUACUUUAUUUUACUAUGUGAAUAAAUUAUUUAUUGAAAAAGAUUGCCA